rnacentral:tRNA from 1 species
GAAGCGGUCGUUCAGUUGGUUAGCCUCUUUACCUUGAAGGCGGCGGCCUGUCACGCCGGGGGGCGCGGGUUCGAGUCCCGUCCGCUCCGCCA